rnacentral:snoRNA from 1 species
AAGACUAUAUUUCCAGGGAUCGUUUCUAUAGUUUUUCACUUGGAAAUGUGUUUUGAAAGUGUUUGUCUCCCGACCCGCGAUGAUGAGCUGUAAUACUCUUUUCUGAGAGCGGAUUGAGAGUAGAACUAUGACUUUGAUCACAAGUUCCGUCAUUGAUGAGCGUUCAUAUUGCUUUUGGCAAUCUUGAAAAAAGGAGUAUGAUCUGAGUGGU